UACAGGGGGUGCAAGCGUUGCUCGGAAUUAUUGGGCGUAAAGCGCACGUAGGCGGUUUGUUAUGUCGGAUGUGAAAGCCCUUGGCUCAACUGAGGAAGUGCAUCCGAAACUGGCAAGCUAGAGUAUGUAAGAGGGUCGCGGAAUUCCCGGUGUAGAGGUGAAAUUCGUAGAUAUCGGGAGGAACACCGGUGGCGAAGGCGGCGACCUGGGACAAUACUGACGCUGAGGUGCGAAAGCGUGGGGAGCAAACAGG
rnacentral:rRNA from 1 species